CGCCUCUUGUUCAUAUAAGAGGUCCAGCCUGCCCAGUGACCCCUGUUCAACGGCCGCGGUAUCCUAACCGUGCGAAGGUAGCGUAAUCACUUGUCUCCUAAAUAGAGACCAGUAUGAAAGGCAUCACGAGGGCUAAACUGUCUCCUUUCCCUAAUCAGUGAACCUAAUCUCCCCGUGAAGAAGCGGGGAUUUUUAUAUAAGACGAGAAGACCCUAUGGAGCUUUAAACAUUACAACACCUGCCCAAUAUCUUUAUCUACCCCGGUAUACCCCCCUUCACGGCACGCUAAUUGUAUGUUUUUGGUUGGGGUGACCGCGGAGAAAAACUAAUCCUCCGCAAUGAAGGGGGUUCCCCCUAAACAGUAAGCCACAACUUUAUGUAUCCACAAAUUGACAUUCAUUGACCCAAUAUAUUUGAUUAACGAACCAAGUUACCCUAGGGAUAACAGCGCAAUCCACUUUGAGAGCCCCUAUCGACAAGUGGGCUUACGACCUCGAUGUUGGAUCGGGGUAUCCUAGUGGUGCAGCCGCUACUAAGGGUUCGUUUGUUCAACGAUUAAAACCCC
rnacentral:rRNA from 1 species